AACUUACACGUUUAAUUUCUAUCCAGAAUAAGGGAGAUUCAUCCCUACCCUUACUUACGUGAAUAGAUAUUAUAGAAAUGAAUGAAGUGGAUGGAGGCCAAGUUUGGUGAUGGAGACAGAGAAAGGAAAGUUGGUGGCGCAGCAGGAAGGUUUGGUAAAAAAGACGAGAAUAAUGGUGGGUAUUGACGAGAGUGAUGAGAGUUUCCAUGGACUCCAAUGGACCCUCGAUAACCUAUUUGGUUGCAUCACUGCCACUGCUGCACCAGAACAACCUGAAGCUAACGACAAGGCCGGUUCGCGGCUCAUCACUCUGAGUCUAGUUCAUGUUCAGCAGGCUUUCCACCUUCAAUAUGUCCCUGCUGGACCUGGAGGUACAGCAUAUGUUGCUGCUGGUUCGAGAAGGUCGAUCAGAUUUGGAACUCCGAGCUACACUAAAAGUGAGUUUUAGCUCAAGAGCUUAGAGGACCAAAGUUGGAUAGGGGAAAGGAGAAAGUAAUCGAAUAACCGUUGUAAUCGUUCGACAACAUCCGAUAUCGUUGACUCCAGCCACUUGCUCGAGGAUCGUCAGCAACUCGUCACACUAUCUAUCGUUUUGGUACUAUUAUGUUUUGGAAUUUGUAUGGCAUGUAUAGACUAGACUUAUGUGGAUGAUAUUUUGAAGAUGUUGUUGUAUACAAGCCAUGUGAAUAUGGUAACUUUUGAAUGUCGGUAUAA